UCUUUCAUUCAUCAUCCUCAAAGGUCUCUUCUCUCCCCUCUUCCUAACUCUCGGAGCUUUUUUUAAUUCUUUUAUUCUCAGCUUCUUGAGGAGCUUAUCUAGCAAUGGAAGGAGUUCCAGGGGUCAAUCAUACUGUUCCAAAUCCUAACCAUUAUGACAAGUCAAUAGUGCUAGAUGUAAAACCACUGCGAAGUUUGAAACCUGUUUUUCCAAAUGGUAACCAAGG